AGAAUCAACGCUGGCGGCGUGCCUAACACAUGCAAGUCGCACGAGAAAGGGUAGCAAUACCUGAGUAAAGUGGCGCACGGGUGAGUAACACGUGAAUGAUCUACCUCCGAGUGGGGAAUAACUGAGAGAAAUCUUAGCUAAUACCGCAUAACACUUACGAGUCAAAGCAGCAAUGCGCUUGGGAGAGGAGUUCGCGGCCGAUUAGUUAGUUGGCGGGGUAAUGGCCCACCAAGACGAUGAUCGGUA
rnacentral:rRNA from 1 species